CUCUUGCGGAGGCUGAAGAGGUCCAGGUGCCCUAGUCUCUCCUCAUAGGGCUUGGCCUGCAAGCCCUUAACCAUGUGAGUGGCCCUUCUCUGGACCCUCUCCAGGUUAUCCGCAUCCCUCUUGAAGUGCGGCGCCCAAAAUUGCACGCAGUACUCCAACUGCGGUCUGACCAGUGCCCGAUAGAGGGGAAGUAUCACCUCCUUGGUUCUGUUCGUCAUGCAUCUGCUGAUGCACGAUAAAGUACCAUUAGCUUUUCUGAUGACUUUGUCACACUGACGACUCAUGUUCAUCUUGGAGUCCACUAGGACUCCAAGAUCCCUUUCUGCUUCCAUGCCUCCAAGCAGGUCAUUCCCUAGGCAGUAGGUGUGCUGGACAUUUUUCCUCCCUAGGUGCAGCACUUUGCAUUUCUCCUUGUUGAACUGCAUUCUGUUGUUUUCUGCCCAUAUGUCCAACCUGUCCAGGUCUGCUUGUAGUUGUUCCCUGCCCUCCGGCGUGUCCACUUCCCCCCACAGUUUUGUGUCAUCCGCAAACUUGGACAGAGUACACUUUACUCCCUCGUCCAAGUCGCUGAUGAAGACGUUGAAGAGUGUAUCGGUCCAAGGACCGAGCCCUGCGGGACCCCACUGCCCACACCCUUCUAGGUCGAUACCGACCCAUCCACUACGACUCUCUGGGUGUGACCCUCCAGCCAAUUCACCACCCACCGGACUGUGUAGUCAUCCAAGUCACAGCCUCUUAACUUGUUCACCAGUAUGAGGUGGGAUACCGUAUCGAAGGCCUUCCUGAAGUCUAAGUAAACAAUGUCAAUCCCUACUCCUGCAUCCAGGUGUUUUGUAACUUGGUCAUAAAUUUUAAGAUUUCCUUAAAGAAGACAUUUAUUUUUUCAGAAAGUGAAUAAAGAAAGCAUUAGCAUUAGGGAUGUAAGCAGUUAAAUGACAAAUAUAUUUUAUCAUUUACAGCUUAUCACUUACUGUUUAGUGGCCUGUAGCAGGAAGGCCCCCAGCCCUGACCCCUAUGUCUUCGCCAUGCACCCAUUGCUGCAUGGGCCCUAGGCUGCUGAUGGGGAGUUGCAGGCAGAGGGUGCGACCAAGCCACUCAGAGGCACUGCCCAGCUGUGGUGCUGGGUGCCCCCUACAGAUGUCAGGCGAGGCCUUCCUGCUGCAGCAGUGAGAUUCCUGGCCUUAUGGGGGGUCUGUCCUGCCCCCCUGCAGUGAUGGGACCUGGGCAUGGCAACGGGCGACAAGUUCCCUGUGGUUCCUACCGUGCUUGCGCUGCCGCACCCUGGACUUGGAAGGCUUCUCCAUGCUUUUGGGUCCCCCUCAGCUCAUCCAGGGGAUAGAGGAGUCUGGUCCCAGCAGGGCAACCUCUGCCAGAUCUGCUUCCCCCUCCUGGCCAUGGUGCUGAGCCCGGCCCGGCCCUGAGACAGAGCUGUGCGCGUAGCUGGCUUGGCCCAAGGAGGUGCAGCAGCGGCGCCACAUCCAAGGAAUCGCCAUUGGCCCUUCACACAGCUCCAGGGCGUUCUGCUGGGACUAGAACCUCCCUUCCCCCAGGGCGAGCUGUGGAGGGCCCGUCCCAGCAACACGGAGAAACCUUCCAGGUCUGGGCCACAGCACAAGUGCAGCGGGAGGCACAGGGAACCCAUCACCCUGCCCGGGUGCCACAGCUGCAGGGGGGCCAGGCAGACCCACUGCGGGGCCGGGAGUCUCGCUGCUGUAGCAGACAAGCCCUGCCCAACCCCGGGGGGGGGGAGGGGGGGGGGCUUGGCACCCUCCUCCCUCCCCUGAGGUGCGGCAGCGGGAUCUGGGUGCAGGAGAGGUCUUCAGCCCCUACCCUUGCCCACAGGGGCAAGGAGAAGCCGUGACUCUGCAGCUGGGCAUUGUCCCCUAGUGACAGCCAUGCUUCUACCCAGUGGCUGGGGCUUGUGCAGUGCAGGAUGCAUAAGGGGCCGGAGCUGGGGUCAGGGCCAUUACAACCAGAGGUCACUAAACUAGGAAUGUACUAUUGGUUCACCAUUUAACCAAUAUAACUAGAGGAGGUCAAACAGAUAAUUUUUCAAAUGAUGUUUACAGCCCUAAUUGUUUUAUAAAGGCAAUAUUCCUGAUUACUUUCAGGUGGAAUAUUUAAAUGCUAGAUAUUAGCCAAAAGACCGAAAAACGAUAAACAAAACAAUUUUACAGAAACAAUGUUAUUUUAUAAUUAAACCUUAGGGGACAGAAGUACUAGAAAUCAGGUGGAGAUGUUAAUAUUUCAGCAUGCUAUAAAGCAUUACACAACAAAUUUGGAAAUAAUUCAGUACUGUAUCAAGGGACAAGGGUCUAACGCUGUCAGUUGCCCAGGGCUGUUCAAAAGUAUAUAAUGCCUUUUGCAUGUUAAUAUACAAUGUCUCUGUGGACUCUUCCAUACAUUAUAUGUAUCGCCACAUUACAACAUAUUUAUGCUCUUACUUUAAAAGGAAAUUCUAAUACACAGAAGCAUGCUCCGUGUAAGUAUGCUCACUAUUGUCAAAAACAUUUCUGGUUCAAAUUUUGUUUUUGUAAUAGAAACUAUUUACAGGGAGAUAAGUUACAUUUUUCCAUUAGUUUUUUAACUUGUCUUGGGAACAAAUAUUCUGUAAAGCCCUGGACCCAUAGCCACACUUGUGCUUGUGCUACUUCGAUAUUUUUACUGCCCAUGGAACAAAUUGCACGUUGGUUCCCUGAAGGCAAAAUGUUUCAAAGAAUGACUGUUCUGUUACUAAUCUACUUCAAUAUUGAUUUACUGGUUCUUACUGGGGGGAAAAGUUGGUUUUAAAAUACCUUAUCAUUCAUAUCCAUCUUCUUUCUUCUUUUUAUGCAGGUGUUGUAAGGAGGAGGAUGAGUGUAGGAUCUACACCUUGGGUAUCAAGGUGUGCAGUACUACUCAAUAUUAAACUGAAGGAGUGAGAUCUGGGACUUGGGGAAGCUCUAGAGAAAGGAGUUGCCAGGCACUGCACUGAAGGGGUGGGUGUUUGAAGUAUACAGAGAAGCAUUUUUAUACAGCAUUGAUAUGGUGACAGGUAACAUUUUUUUGGCCCUAAGAGAAAGUGGGAGGGGUUCAAAGUCAACUCUGUCGCCAGCCUUCGAUCCUAGAGAUUAAUUGGGAAAGUAGAAGAAACAGUGCUGUGGUUGAAGAUACUCUUGUUGCCCAAGAGAAGUUUUAUCAGUAUGUGUCACUGUGUGCAAGGUCUAUGCUGAAAGAAUUUAAAAUUCAGGGAGAAGUUGGAAUUGGCACUUAGGCUUUGGCAGGGCAGCACUAUAGAUUUCAGUAAUCUCAAUAAUUUCAAUAAUCUGUGGCUGAGGGUUUGUGAUAAUAUCAAGAUCUGUCUCUCUGUGCAAUCUUGCACCCAAAAGCUUAGCAAGCAAAAUACAAAAUAUCGAACACCAGGCUUAUUUGCCUGCUUUCUUUUCUAGCUCUUCCAUAGGUGCUACAUAACUAUAAUAUAUAUUAAUUGUGAAAAUCAACCAAAUGUUGUGCAGCAUGUUUUUAAACUGCAAAUGGCUCUUUAUAUGUUGUAAACUGUGUUGUUGUUUUUUUUAGAUAUCUAAUCAUUCUGGAAACCUGAGCUCUUUGGGUUUGUGAAGUUGUGGGUAUUAACUAACCAAAUACAGCUUUCAUUUGAGUUUAAAAGAAAUUAAACCUAAAACUGGGCUGAGCUAAAAUGUGUGUUUAGGGUCCCUUCUUGUUUAAAAACCUUGUAGCAACUUAUGUCCUGCUAUACAGGAGGAAAGCAGUGCCAAAGAGAGAACAGCUUCUCGACAGCAUUAGGGUAUAAACAAAAGGGAGAAACCAAGCAUAGCAUGAGACAGAGUGUAUGCAAUUAAGCAGGGCAUCAUUGUCUCCAGGAAAGAUUCUGUCAUCAUUGUGGCAUUGUAUACAAGCAUCUUAAAAUGUAAAGAUGUUAGGGUAACUCGGAAAUUUAGAAGGGCACAACAGGCUUGUUGGCGUGACGAUUCUGGAGAUUCCUUUUUUUUUUUUAAUGUUGUCUUUAGUGUUUAGCUUUCAUCCACAUAUGAAACCCACUGUAAAAGUGUUGUAACAGUCAUGCAUAUGGCUGCUGCUGUUACUGUUUCCAUGGGGAAAAACCAUCUGAUAGGCAGAAACAGCAAGUGCUUUACAAUUUCAAAAUGAACAAGAAUUAUUUUAAAGCACACAGCAACUUUUUGCUGAGCCAACACCGGUCUCCAUGGAGACUAGCAGGAAUUGCAGACUUAAUCACAGCUCUAAGAAGUCUUGUAGAUUUUCAGAUGCAACAGCUCUGAGCACUGAAAAUGAUGUUCUUGCAGCUCAGCCACAGAUAUUAGGAACCCAUAGGAUCAUACUCAUGAGUGCUCUUAAAGUGCAUUCCUUAACUACCUCUAGCUCACAAGGUAUUGCAAAUUGGACACUGCUCUGGAUACCUUGCCCUACCAUUUGUCUGAAAAUAUAAUAUUUAAAGCGCUGUACUUGCCCAUGGAUUGUAUUAGACAGUGUGUGUGCAUGCUUGAGAGAGAUGCUAAUGCACAAAUGAGAGAGGACAUGAAUUCUGCCUUUUUUCAUUUUAUGCCUUGCAUUAUUUAUGUUUAGCACAGAAAAUGCAUAGCACAGUAUGGUAGGCAAAUAAAAGACCUUCUAAAGAAAAGUGUGUGCAGUUUGUCCACCUCUCACCGACUGAGACAGUGGAAGUCCCACGAGACCAGUAUUUUAAAUAUGCUUUUGAACUUGUACAAGGAGAGUUAUCAAUUUCUGCGCAGUGCCCAAUCAAAUUGUCAUUUUCCAGUGAAAAAUGGCUUGAAUCGCAAGAGCUGUGAGAAUACCCUGGGGUAGAGGUACCAAAGGUGGCCUGAGGAGUGAUGCAUGUAGAGUUGAGGAGUUUUCAGAUAGUUAAAGGGAUGGGUCUAUCUAUCUUUUUCAGUCUCUUCUGAGGUAUAACACUUGUUGGACUGAUUCAGGUAAUAAAGUAGAUUUGUGAUUAUUGAUGCCAUGACCUGAAAUCCAGCAAUUCGAAAGAAUGAUUUUGCCCAUGCUGCGGACAUUGUGAUAUCAUUGAAAAGAUAUGGAAAAGCAGAUGUGGUUUUAUGCUGACCAUCAAACACUCCUCACAUGCUUGAUUUUUUUUGUUUGUUUGGUUGGUUACUUUUCUUACUUUCACAAAAUACAAAUACAUACUACCUUGGCUCAGAUGUGUGUCAAAAGAUGGUUUUCCACAGUGCCUCUAGAACCAGGGGCCUGCAACCUUUUACAAGCUGUGGCCCAGAACAACUCAGCUGUGGUCCAACACAGGCUUUGGAGGCACAUCAGUGGCAGGGGGUUUUGCCCACCCUGAAGCCAGGCAGCUCGAAGCUGUGUCCAUGCCAUGGCUGCUUCUUCCAGUCCCCUACUCCUCUCUGCCCAGCUAGGGGGGAGCUAAGCUGGAAGCAGGUAUCUGUAAACUUUCUGCACUGGUGCCACUUCUCCCUGCUCUCUCUGCCCCCAUUCCUCCUUCCCCCCUGCCCCACACACACACCUGAUUGCACAAUGGCUGGAAGCUGUACCCAUGCCGCAACUGUGGAAGGAGGUGUGGGGGGUGGCAUAGGCAAAGCCUCUCACUAUUAUUGCACAUCUCAAGCUACCUGGCCCACCUUGGACUGGAGCUGAAAGACUGGGGAGAGGUGGCAGCAGCACAAGCACAGCUGGAAGCUGUAUGGCCUCGAUGCAGCUCCUUGUUGCCUGGCCUGGUGCAGGCACAGGCAAAGCUCUCCAGCUCUGAGAGCCAGAUCCAGUGUUUUUUUCAGGCCAUAUCUAGCCCGUGGGCCACAUUUUGCUGACCCCUGCUCUAGAAGUAAAGGGAAAGGGGGUGGGGGAUAGAAAAUUGUCAUUGAAGUUGAUUUUAAAGAUUAAGGUUUAACUCUUUUUAGCUUAGUACUGAAAAUCCUAGCCAGGUAGCAAGCUUCAUCUUGCCUCUCAAGCAAUACAUGGAAUUUUCUGUUGCUUCUGAAUUCUGACUAAGACAGAAUUAUUCCAUAAUCAUAAACAUGUGAAAGAAUGUUAUUUAAAAAAAUGUGGAAAAACACAGGGAAUGGGGAGUCCCAUGCAAUAGUGGGUUAACUGCCUUUUUACCAUGGGUACAACUGCAACCAAAAAAGCAUGGCUUUGGCUUGCUUUGGCUCUUUCACUAUGCUGUGCAUAGCUUCCUGUGAUCAGAGGCCUGAAGAAGAAUCUCUUGCAUUUGAAAGCUUGUCUAACUUUACCCCAACUACAUACUUGGUCCAGUAAAGGAGAUCACCCUAAGAAAUCCUUGCCUCACAAUUUCUGAACUAUUACAGCUACAACAUCACUCUUACGCUGCCUUUGACUUUUUGUACAUGUCAGAGUGCUGCUAUGCAAUUUUUCUUGCAAAUGGCUAUCUCAUUUAUGCAAAGGACCAGGACAGUGUUGCAGAAGAACUAGCCUUGAUGUCAGGACUGAAGUAGAGUAGCAGGAACUGAGAAAGGAACUCUUGAACAUUGUCUAUCCGCCUGGAAAGUAAAUGCAACUUCAAACAUCCUUGAUUUCCAAGUUGGAAGUCAAGUCCUGUUUGAGUACAUUCAUUAUUUAUUGUGUCAGAAUGUUUUAGUUGGAACACACGUUUUUCUAAGAGCAGCAGUAAGUAGAGAUGUUAUGUAAAGCUGGGACUUCUGUGUUAUGUGUGGGGCAGGAGGGAAGUUGAGGGGUAUUCAAGACAGGGGUUUAAUUUAAUGUCUUUAAUUCCCACUCUUCCAGUUUACAAGGCAUAAUUGCCCCCCACCCUAAGACGCACAUGCAGUGUACUCACAGAAAAGGACUACAGAAACGUAUUUAGUUGGUAGCUAUGAGUUAGGAGGUGCCAGAUUUAUAGAUCUGUGUAACCUUAAUUCUGCCCCUUUUGUAAACUUAGCCUGUUGUGGUCGUGAGAGGGGUCCUGUGGAAAUAGUAGCAUCUGAUGAUGUGAUAAGUACUGUGUCAUUGCGCCUCUGCACAAGGGAGCACAAUUAAAACUUGUUCCCAGUGUGCAGUGGCGGUGGUAGUGACAUAGUGGAGUGGCUCACUUGUUUUGUUCACAUCCAGUUAUUUUUUGCAGUCCUUCGCAAGUCACCUGAGGCUUACCCACCCUGGUCAUGGCAUUCCCGCUCUACAGCCUGAAUCUCUUCCAUCUGGCUGACCUAUUUGCCCACAGUUCAGUCUUUUCACCACCAAGGACUAUUGUAUUGGGCAGGCAGCCAGAAGCGGCUUCUUUUCCUGCGCCCUAUCCUCAAUCCUAGCCAGGAAUUGAGUUUGGGGGUGGGAGGAAGAAGAAAAUGAAAACCCUGAUACUGCCCCAGGUUCCCCUCCCUGCUUUGCAGUUAGCUGCACCAGAUUUCUCCCAUUUAUUUCCAUUUCAGGCCCUCUCAGCCCCAGCAAGCACAUAUUCUCAGCCAUCUGCAUAGCUUUUUGGGGCCCAAGAGCCCUCCUGCCCUACAGGAUCCCCAGCUUCCCACUCAGCUUCUUCACCCGGUUAGAACCCUAGAUGCUCUUGACCACCCACUCGCCCCAGGCGCAUGCAUGCUACUACUGGGGGCAAGGCAUGUUGACUGUAAGCUUAAAUUGGUAGUGAAGUAAAAGAUGUGCAGAUCAGGUUUAGAUGACUUUUCCAUAAAAUGUCAUACACGGCAUAAUGCAGAAUUCGGCAGUUAUGAGGUUGACAUUCUACCAGAAUGUUCUAGAGGAACAUGAGCAAGAUAAGGGAAAUGAUGAUUUUUCUUUUAACUUUUUAUCUCAGUUAAACCUGAAGAGAGUUUCAUGGGGGGGGAAAAGAAAAGGUACUUCUGUCGCCUGAAGGGUUUCACCCUGCUGAUUUUCAAAGGCUUGCCUACAAUCAAUGGAGUUAUUAAAGCUCUUCUUAAAAAAAAAAAAAAAAAAAAAAAGAAAAAGAAAAGAAGAAAAACUAACAAUUUUAUACUGCUGAAAAUGUUAAGCAACCUUAAAUAGAGACAUCUCUACAAGCUCUCACUAUAAGAUGCAGUAUAUCUACAUGGGCAAGCAAUGUGUAUAUUAUAAAAUACAAUUUUAAAUGAGGUAAGAGGAGCCUUUCAGUAAAGAGUUGAAGUCUUCUGGAAAAAAAAUUAAUUAUUUAGAGCCUUUUUGAGAGAUUGGUGCCUCUAAACUCACAGUUCAAAAGCCUCUUUUGGGGUCAGGCUUGCUUACUGCCAGUACUGGUACAUUCUUCCUUCCUUGGAAUGAAAAUCUUCCUCCCUCUACUCUUAUGCAGCCAUGUACAGGGGACGGCACUUAAGCUGUCACAGCAGUGGUAGCAGAAGUUCAAAUUACAGGCAAAUAAGGUUUUCUCUUUAUUUUAUAAAGAAAGUAUAAGCAACCCUGUAUAUCUUACUGUACAAGUGCCAAAAAGCACCAGUAGUAAAGGUUAUAGAAAUAAUUGCACAGUUAUUUGGAAAGACCCCUUACCUGACAAAGUGAGCUGAUGGUCAUGAAAGCUUAUGCAUCUGAUUUUAAUUAGUCUAUAAGGUGCAUCUCAGCCCUGCUUUCUGCCGGAUAUAAGACUAAGAGGGCCAACUACCUCUCUGCCUCCAUCUUGCAAUGCUGCAUAGUAGGGUUUAUAGAUUGUGCGUUAGCAAGAAUUUUUAACUGGGAGCAUCUCCAUGGCCAGGUCUCCACGAGCGGCAGACUGCACGAUAAGCAGCGUUACUGUGCGGUCCUGACACCGUAUGGCUAUUUUUUUUUUAAGCUAACGUGCAGUAGCUAAUUACUACUGCACAGUAGCAUCAGCGUCACGGUCUGCACCCAGUGAUGCUACAGCAACGUAACAUCUCGUGUAGAUGUGCCCAGUCUACCUUAAAUGUUUAAAUUCCGGAGACACUGAGAUGCCUUAAGAACCAUGCUGGGAUUUUUAUCAAGACUUGUUGUGCACAAUCCACAAAUAAAACACUUCUGUGCUAUUAUCUGCUUAGGCUGCAAUGAGACAAGCCAUACCUCACAGAUGGACUGGCUUUAUAUUGGAUACUUUAAAAUCAUUUUCAGAAAUCUCUUAGCUAUAGUAAAACUUUUCAAAGAUGUAUCAGAAGCUAGGCUUCUAAAGACACAAUUAGGCUCUUGAGAAACAAUCUGACUUUCAGAGGAAAACCAUAGUGUUCAGUGACUUUAGAAGCUAACAUUGGUCAGUGCUAGGGAAAAUCAGGUCACUUCUGUUCAGGGGCCUUGAAAUAAUAGCUUUAGAACUGUAGCAUUUUAGAUCACCGUGGUUGCUUGGAUACAAAAAUUAAAAUUCUCAUCAAGGGGUGUCCAGGAACUUCCACAUUAUGCCUCGUAUUUUUCAAAUAAGUGAGGCUGCCAUUAUUGUAUUUUCAAGUGUAAAGCGCUCGUUUGUGAGCACACCCAUUCUAGGUAAUAGGCAGAAUUUAGGUGUGUACAGUUGUGUAAAGGAAAUACAACUAUAUUAUUCAGAAGCUGGCCCUUUUUGCCAUUCCAGAGACUAUAUUAAUAGGCAUGAUCUCAAGGCUUUGCAUCUUUUGUGACUGGUUUCUUUAGUCCACAAUAAAACAUUUGUCAAGCCUGAUUGAAGUCGUAACAGUUCCACCCUUAUUACAAAGCACUGUCUCUACUUGAUAGCCUGCUCUCUCUAUGUCCUUUCAUAGCAUUUAAUGAAGUGAGGUCUUACUCAUGAAAGCUUAUGCAUCUCUAAUUGAUUCAGUCAGACUAUAAUGUGUGUCUCUACCAUGUCUUCUGCCUCACUUCCUACUAACACAGCUAAAUACCCCUCUAAGUAAAUGAAUUUGUCUUCCACUAUAUCAUCCAACCUGUGGACUCAAUAUGUCAUUGGCAUAUAGAAGUUGUAUGUGAUCUUACACCCAAAGACUCAUAAUGCAUAUGUGCAUGGGUAGAGUUGAAAGUUGCACAUGUUUUAUACACUGUGCUUUGCACCCUUCAACUCAAUCAAGCUGUGUGAUUGCAGCAGAUGUAUGCAUACCCCAGCUGGCUGUAAUUUAGCCAACUCAGGCACUGAUAAGGAAUGGACUGCCACUUAAAGUCAUUAACAUUAUGAGAGGUUUUUUUUUUUUGGAUGUGUGACUAAAAACAGGUAAUCACCCACAGGUUGCAAAUGGGAUGUUAUAAGGCUAUAGCUGCCCAAGCCACUGGGUCAGGACAUGAAGCCCAGAGGGGUGUGGAGUUGUAGAUAUUCUAGUUGAGAAGUGUUGAUUAAGGAUAGGGUGACCAUAAGGAAAUCUGGGACAUUACUGUCUCCUACCCCCUGUGUCCUGUGCCACCCCCCGCCCCAGCCAAGGUGGUGGUGGUGGUGGUGCUACAGGUGGGCAGGGCAUGCUACUUAAUCCUCCCUGCUGGACUGCAUCCCACACCCCUACGAUUCUGGGACUUCUGUUUUAAUGUUCGCAGUUCGGCUGGGACUGUCCCACGAAAUCCGGGACUGUCCCAGCCAAACCUGGAAGCAUGAUCACUCUAAUUAAGGGCCACAUGAGUUCAAGUGUGUUGAGCCACAAAAAGCAGGAGCAUGUGUGUAUGUGCACGCUGCAAGAGAUUAAACAAAAUGUAGGGUAUGACUGUGUUUCACGCUGACAAGAAACAACCUGCCAGUUUAUAUACAACUUAGUAAGUAUCUAACCCUUCGUUCCCAUGUGGCCAUCUCCAUUUCAGCAGCACUCAGCCAGCUGGCUGGAGGCACGCAUGGGUUCUGAUUCACCUCUGACUGUAGCAGAGAAUGUGGUUCUGAAAGAGGCAUCUGAAAUCCACACUUUCCUAACACCUUGGAGAUUAAUGGAAGUUGGCACCAGGGCAGUAAGUGCAUUAAAGACCACCUACCACAAAGCUAAGAAUGAUAACUACGCGUCCAGCAAAGUCCUGUCUACCUGCUGUUAUUGCAAAGAUUUUGGAAGCGCUGAGUAUGGAGUUCCACAGUUCUGUCUGGCAGGCAGAGGCAGAGACAAGAGGCAGAGGGGAGGGCCAACAGCACCAGAAGAGACCUCAGUGGCAGGAGGAGAGAGAGAAUUGGGAGCAAACCUCAGAACAAGUUCAGAGUGAGCCUGUGGCCAGAUAGGCCUCAAACAUGUCCGGGGGCUCGAUUCGGAGAACCUCUUGGAAGAGGAGCUUGUGAUCCAUCUUGGGAGGAAGCAAGACGAGCAGGAGCUGGAGAUUCAUCCAGGAUCUUCUGCUUCUAUUGAACUGAGGCACCUGUAUGAGCCCUUUCAUGAGAGGACCCUGAAACAGUGCAGCAGAAGGGAAGAGCUCAGAGAUGAUCUAUUGUAUGAAAUACAGAUCGGCUCUGGGCACGUCAGAUGAGCACCUGGAAUGCCAAAGAGGAACAGGGUAUGGAGUGGGGGGGAAAAACAGGAAGAGAAAAGGAGGCUCAAGAUACAGCAUGACCAUGCUUGAUGAUGAUGGAGCAGGAACAAGGGCAGCAGGAAGACUUCCUGAGCAGCAGUUUGCACUGUUGGUGCUCAGCUCCAGCCUCCAAUCUAGCACCGCUGUCAGUGCCUGCAGAUUCUCCUCCAUGUGCCUGUCUUGCUGCUGCCUGUGCAGUUACUUGGCAAGUCAUGCAUUGAGUGGGCUGUAAAACGCUCCUAAUUCUUCUCUUGCUAUGUGGGGUAAGGAGAACAAAAACACUUCUGAUAUCCAGUUCUGCUACCAGUGAGAUUGCACUGCUUACACACUGUUUUACCAGCUCAGUUUGCACGUGUUUAUACUCUUCAGAUAUUUGUUUAUUGGCAGCUGUGACACCUGCAGUGCUUUUCCAAAUGCUGCUUUACUACUUGUUAAUAAAUUGGUUCUGUUGUAUCA